rnacentral:lncRNA from 1 species
AUUGAAAGAGCCUUCUCCUGCAUUCAAGUCGACUACACAUUCAAGAGGAGACCCGAAGUUCAAGAAGCUCUUCCUCUUCUCCAACUUAAAAGCGUUUGAGGGCUCUUAACUUCAUUAUUGUUCAUAUUGCCAUUUAUCUGCUUUUGAGAAGCUGUAUUUUUCUGUUUGUCUCUUUUAUCUACACCUUUGUCUUUGCUUGGUUCAAUCGGGGCAUUGAAUCAAGAGUAUUGAGGUUGGUUGGUGAGCCGAGUGUAAAACCAACGUGUAAGGGUUCGAUUGUGAUCCCGGAAAAACA